rnacentral:lncRNA from 1 species
AAUUGUAAGAAUUCUUAGCUCAUUCAGAAGUAACUUUUAUUGGUCACUUGCUUGUUUAAUAAUCAAAAGCAUAACGUCAGCACAAAAGCACAGAAAGCUACUCUGGUAAGACACAGAGUCUCUGCCACUCGAGAUUACAUAGAAGCCUCAUUAUUUGCAGGUAUUAUAAUCCCAGGCAAACGAAAUUUCUUUCUGCAAACCUAGAACCUUUGACCCAUAUUUCCUCUGUCUGCUCUGCUCUUCCAAAGCGAAGAGGACAACUCACCCCGCUUCCUUGCAUCCACGUCCAUAUGUUCUGCCACCACUGUUUCUAAGAUGCUCUCAACCACGUAGAGUAAUUCUAACUUUUAAACAAAGACAUCGCACUGGCCCGCUGUAUGGAGAAUACUGGCUGAGAGGAGCUGCAGAGCCAGAGGAUGCAUUGGUAAUUGUAAUAUUUCAACUUUGUCAACUUUGGUGACAGAGAAAGAAAAACCCAGGGAAACAUUCUACAAUCGUCUUUCUGAAACUGGAGAUGACACCGCAGUAGGAUGACUCUUUGUUACGGUAUUAAACAGAGACUGCCAAGCUUCACCCUCUUCUUCCUCGUUGCUGCUGGCAGCGUGGACGUGAGCCAGGGAGGUGCAGAAGGUCUCUUGUAAUCAUGAGGCGACAAGGACAAACACCUCUGUGCAGGAGGAUGCAAAGUGGAAAGACGGAGUGAGCCUGGAUCCCUGAGAGGUCACUGCGCCGCCGUGCCGGGCCUGGACCACCCGCCUGGACUCGCAGAGCCC